UACAGAGGGUGCAAGCGUUAUUCGGAAUUAUUGGGCGUAAAGGGCGCGUAGGCGGCUUCGCAAGUGACGGGUGAAAUCCCUCGGCUUAACCGAGGAACUGCCUGUCAAACUGCGUGGCUUGAGACCAGGAGAGGUGAGUGGAAUUCCCAGUGUAGCGGUGAAAUGCGUAGAUAUUGGGAGGAACACCAGUGGCGAAGGCGGCUCACUGGACUGGUACUGACGCUGAGGCGCGAAAGCGUGGGGAGCAAGCAGG
rnacentral:rRNA from 1 species